AAUCCGGUUGAUCCUGCCGGACCCUACUGCUAUCGGGAUGGGGCUAAGACAUGUUAGUCGCGCGCCUUCUAGCUAUGUUGGAGGCGCGGCAUACCGCUCAGUAGCACGUGGCUAACCUACCCUUGGGACGGAAACAUCCCCGGGAAACUGGGGCUAAUUUCCGAUAGGCGAAGCUCCCUGGAAUGGGUUUUCACCUAAAGGGCGCUUAGAUCAUGCUUCUAGGCGUUGCCCAAGGACGGGGCCGCGGCCGAUCAGGUUGUUGGUGAGGUAACGGCCCACCAAGCCUAUAACCGGUGCGGGCCGUGGGAGCGGAAGCCCGGAGAUGGGUACUGAGACAAGGGCCCAGGCCCUACGGGGCGCAGCAGUCGCGCAAACUUCACAAUAAGCGAAAGCUUGAUGGGGCCAUCCCGAGUGCCAUCCGCUGAGGAUGGCUUUUACCCAGUAUAGUUAGCUGGGGGAAUAAGGAGAGGGCAAGUCUGGUGUCAGCCGCCGCGGUAAUACCAGCUCUCCGAGUGGUGGGGAUGAUUAUUGGGCCUGAAGCAUCCGUAGCUUGCUGAACAAGUCCCCUGUUAAACCCAGCGAUUCAAUCGUUGGUCUGCGGGGGAUACUGUUCGGCUUGGGGGCGGGAGAGGCUGUCGGUAUUCUCGGGGUAGGGGUGAAAUCCUAUAAUCCCGGGAGGACCACCAGUGGCGAAGGCUGUCAGCUAGCACGCGCCCGACGGUGAGGGAUCAAAGCUGGGGGAGCGAACCGGAUUAGAUACCCGGGUAGUCCCAGCUGUAAACGAUGCAGGCUAGGUGUUUGGGCGGCUACGUGCCGCUCUAGUGCCGCAGGGAAGCUGUUAAGCCUGCCGCCUGGGGAGUACGAUCGCAAGAUUGAAACUUAAAGGAAUUGGCGGGGGAGCACCACAAGGGGUGAAGCCUGCGGUUCAAUUGGAGUCAACGCCAGAAAUCUUACCCGAAGAGACAGCAGAAUGAAGGUCAAGCCGGAGACUUUACCAGACAAGCUGAGAAGUGGUGCAUGGCCGUCGCCAGCUCGUGCCGUGAGAUGUCCUGUUAAGUCAGGUAACGAGCGAGACCCCCACC
rnacentral:rRNA from 1 species